AUUGAACGCUGGCGGCAUGCUUUACACAUGCAAGUCGAACGGUGGAGGGGACAACCCCUUGAGAGUGGCGAACGGGUGAGUAAUGCAGCGGAACGUGCCCAGUCGUGGGGGAUAACGCAGCGAAAGCUGUGCUAAUACCGCAUACGAUCUCUGGAUGAAAGCGGGGGACCGAAAGGCCUCGCGCGAUUGGAGCGGCCGAUGUCAGAUUAGGUAUUCGGUGGGGUAAAGGCUCACCAAGCCAACGAUCCGUAGCUGGUCUGAGAGGACGACCAGCCACACUGGGACUGAGACACGGCCCAGACUCCUACGGGAGGAAGCAGUGGGGAAUUUUGGACCAUGGGCGCAAGCCUGAUCCAGCAAUGCCGCGUGCAGGAAGAAGGCCUUCGGGUUGUAAACUGCUUUUGUACGGAACGAAAAGGUCUGGGUUAAUACCCUGGGCACAUGACGGUACCGUAAGAAUAAGCACCGGCUAACUACGUGCCAGCAGCCGCGGUAA
rnacentral:rRNA from 1 species